GACGAACGCUGGCGGCGUGCUUAACACAUGCAAGUCGAACGGUAAGGCCCUUCGGGGUACACGAGUGGCGAACGGGUGAGUAACACGUGGGUGAUCUGCCCUGCACUUCGGGAUAAGCCUGGGAAACUGGGUCUAAUACCGGAUAGGACCACUGCCUGCAUGGGUGGUGGUGGAAAGCUUUUGCGGUGUGGGAUGGGCCCGCGGCCUAUCAGCUUGUUGGUGGGGUGAUGGCCUACCAAGGCGACGACGGGUAGCCGGCCUGAGAGGGUGACCGGCCACACUGGGACUGGGAUACGGGCCAGACUACUACGGGAGGCAGCAGUGGGGAAGAUUGCACAAUGGGCGCAAGCCGGAUGCAGCGACGCCGCGUGAGGGAUGACGGCCUUCGGGUUGUAAACCUCUUUCAGCACCGACGAAGCGCAAGUGACGGUAGGUGCAGAAGAAGGACCGGCCAACUACGUGCCAGCCGCCGCCGUAA
rnacentral:rRNA from 1 species